GAUGAAGAACGUAGUGAAAUGCGAUAAGUAAUGUGAAUUGCAGAAUUCAGUGAAUCAUCGAAUCUUUGAACGCACAUUGCGCCCGUCAGUAUUCUGGCGGGCAUGCCUGUUCGAGCGUCAUUACGCCCCUCAAGUCCCCUGUGGACUUGGUGUUGGGGAUCGGCGAGGCUGGUUUUCCAGCACAGCCGUCCAUUAAAUUAAUUGGCGGUCUCGCCGUGGCCCUCCUCUGCGCAGUAGUAAAACACUCGCAACAGGAGCCCGGCGCGGUCCACUGCCGUAAAACCCCCCAACUUUUUAUAGUUGACCUCGAAUCAGGUAGGACUACCCGCUGAACUUAAGCAUAUCAAUAAGCGGAGGA
rnacentral:misc_RNA from 1 species